rnacentral:rRNA from 1 species
CCCUUAGAUGUCCUGGGCUGCACGCGCGCUAUACUGAUGUGUCCAGUAAGCACCUAACCUCUUCCGAAAGGAACGGGUAACCUUUGCAAAGCACAUCGUGAUGGGGAUAGAUUAUUGCAAUUAUUAGUCUUGAACGAGGAAUUCCUAGUAAGCACAAGUCAUCAGCUUGUGUUGAUUACGUCCCUGCCCUUUGUACACACCGCCCGUCGCUCCUACCGAUUGAAUGUUCCGGUGAGCUCUUCGGACUGCGCGGUCUGCAGUUUCUGCGUUCCGUGCGGAAAGUUGCGCAAACCUUAACAUUUAGAGGAAGGAGAAGUCGUAACA